rnacentral:tmRNA from 1 species
GGGGGCGAAAGGUUUCGAUCUAAAUGCGGAAGCAAGGGUGGCAUCCUGAGGUGUCUGGAGGCCUCAUUAAACACCAGACAAAACAUAAAUGCCAACUACGAUCCAGUAGCAGAAGCAGAAGAGAUUCUUGCUUCUGAGGCAUUAGCCGUUGCAUAAAGCGACGGCGGUCUACUUAACCUGCCUGCGGGUUAAGAUAGGCUACGGGAAGCAGGAUAGUUCCCUUAUUCUUUUCUGGGGGAGAGGGAACGAGAUUCUACCAGAAUAGUCUCUUUUCUAUCCUGCCUGUUGGAGAGAAAGAGGCGAAGUUUAGAAAACAGGCUAUGGAUGUAGAAACUCUUGUAGAAGCAUUUAGAGACCGGGGUUCAAAUCCCCGCGCCUCCACCA